AAAACUAUAAUUUAAUGGCUAGAAUACUCUAUUAACCAGAGUAAUGGAGGUUAAAAUCCUCCUAGUUUUU